rnacentral:tRNA from 1 species
UCAUUGGUGUUUCAGUGGUAGAAUUCCUGCUUUCCAUACAGGAGACCUGGGUUCACUUCCCAGCCAACGUG